GGCGAUUGCAAUGAAUUUAACAUUUAAUCCCAGCUCUAUGAGACCUUAUUAAAUAAGGUCUGGGAUUAGAUUUCGUUUCCAACACAUAUAAUAUCUGAGCUUCGCC